rnacentral:rRNA from 1 species
AGUGAACGCUGGCGGUAGGCCUAACACAUGCAAGUCGAACGGCAGCACAGUAAGAGCUUGCUCUUACGGGUGGCGAGUGGCGGACGGGUGAGGAAUACAUCGGAAUCUACUUUUUCGUGGGGGAUAACGUAGGGAAACUUACGCUAAUACCGCAUACGACCUACGGGUGAAAGCAGGGGAUCUUCUGACCUUGCGCGAUUGAAUGAGCCGAUGUCGGAUUAGCUAGUUGGCGGGGUAAAGGCCCACCAAGGCGACGAUCCGUAGCUGGUCUGAGAGGAUGAUCAGCCACACUGGAACUGAGACACGGUCCAGACUCCUACGGGAGGCAGCAGUGGGGAAUAUUGGACAAUGGGCGCAAGCCUGAUCCAGCCAUACCGCGUGUGUGAAGAAGGCCUUCGGGUUGUAAAGCCCUUUUGUUGGGAAAGAAAAGCAGCAGGUUAAUACCCCGCUGUUCUGACGGUACCCAAAGAAUAAGCACCGGCUAACUUCGUG